rnacentral:rRNA from 1 species
AUUGAACGCUGGCGGCAUGCUUUACACAUGCAAGUCGAACGGCAGCGCGGGCUUCGGCCUGGCGGCGAGUGGCGAACGGGUGAGUAAUACAUCGGAACGUGCCCAGUAGUGGGGGAUAGCUCGGCGAAAGCCGGAUUAAUACCGCAUACGACCUGAGGGUGAAAGCGGGGGAUCUUCGGACCUCGCGCUCUUGGAGCGGCCGAUGGCAGUUUAGCCAGUUGGUGGGGUAAAGGCCUACCAAGGCGACGAUCUGUAGCUGGUCUGAGAGGACGACCAGCCACACUGGGACUGAGACACGGCCCAGACUCCUACGGGAGGCAGCAGUGGGGAAUUUUGGACAAUGGGCGAAAGCCUGAUCCAGCAAUGCCGCGUGUGUGAUGAAGGCCUUCGGGUUGUAAAGCACUUUUGGCGGGAACGAAAAGGACUGUGCCAAUACCACGGUUCGAUGACGGUACCCGCAGAAUAAGCACCGGCUAACUACGUG